UACGUAGGGUGCGAGCGUUAAUCGGAAUUACUGGGCGUAAAGCGCACGCAGGCGGUCUGUCAAGUCGGAUGUGAAAUCCCCGGGCUCAACCUGGGAACUGCAUUCGAAACUGGCAGGCUAGAGUCUUGUAGAGGGGGGUAGAAUUCCAGGUGUAGCGGUGAAAUGCGUAGAGAUCUGGAGGAAUACCGGUGGCGAAGGCGGCCCCCAGGACAAAGACUGACGCUCAGGUGCGAAAGCGUGGGGAGCAAACAGG
rnacentral:rRNA from 1 species